UACGAGGGGGGCGAGCGUUGUUCGGAAUCACUGGGCGUAAAGGGUGCGUAGGCGGGUUUUUAAGUCAGAGGUGAAAUCCUGGAGCUCAACUCCAGAACUGCCUUUGAUACUGAAAGUCUUGAGUAUGGGAGAGGUGAGUGGAACUGCGAGUGUAGAGGUGAAAUUCGUAGAUAUUCGCAAGAACACCAGUGGCGAAGGCGGCUCACUGGCCCAUUACUGACGCUGAGGCACGAAAGCGUGGGGAGCAAACAGG
rnacentral:rRNA from 1 species